rnacentral:rRNA from 1 species
UACGUAGGGUGCAAGCGUUAAUCGGAAUUACUGGGCGUAAAGCGUGCGCAGGCGGUUAUGCAAGACAGAGGUGAAAUCCCCGGGCUCAAACUGGGAACUGCCUUUGUGACUGCAUAGCUAGAGUACGGUAGAGGGGGAUGGAAUUCCGCGUGUAGCAGUGAAAUGCGUAGAUAUGCGGAGGAACACCGAUGGCGAAGGCAAUCCCCUGGACCUGUACUGACGCUCAUGCACGAAAGCGUGGGGAGCAAACAGG